rnacentral:rRNA from 1 species
GACGAACGCUGGCGGCGUGCCUAAUACAUGCAAGUAGAACGCUGAAGGAGGAGCUUGCUUCUCUGGAUGAGUUGCGAACGGGUGAGUAACGCGUAGGUAACCUGCCUGGUAGCGGGGGAUAACUAUUGGAAACGAUAGCUAAUACCGCAUAAUAGUAGAUGUUGCAUGACAUUUGCUUAAAAGGUGCAAUUGCAUCACUACCAGAUGGACCUGCGUUGUAUUAGCUAGUUGGUGGGGUAACGGCUCACCAAGGCGACGAUACAUAGCCGACCUGAGAGGGGGAUCGGCCACACUGGGACUGAGACACGGCCCAGACUCCUACAGGAGGCAGCAGUAGGGAAUCUUCGGCAAUGGACGGAAGUCUGACCGAGCAACGCCGCGUGAGUGAAGAAGGUUUUCGGAUCUUAAAGCUCUGUUGUAAGAGAAGAACGAGUGUGAGAGUGGAAAGUUCACACUGUGACGGUAUCUUACCAGAAAGGGACGGCUAACUACGUG